GACGAACGCUGGCGGCGUGCCUAAUACAUGCAAGUAGAACGCUGAAGGAGGAGCUUGCUUCUCUGGAUGAGUUGCGAACGGGUGAGUAACGCGUAGGUAACCUGCCUGGUAGCAGGGGAUAACUAUUGGAAACGAUAGCUAAUACCGCAUAAGAGUAGAUGUUGCAUGACAUUUGCUUAAAAGGUGCAAUUGCAUCACUACCAGAUGGACCUGCGUUGUAUUAGCUAGUUGGUGGGGUAACGGCUUACCAAGGCGACGAUACAUAGCCGACCUGAGAGGGGGAACGGCCACACUGGGACUGAGACACGGCCCAGACUCCUACGGGAAGCAGCAGUAGGGAAUCUUCGGCAAUGGACGGAAGUCUGAACGAGCAACGCCGCGUGAGUGAAGAAGGUUUUCGGAUCGUAAAGCUCUGUUGUAAGAGAAGAACGAGGGUGAGAGUGGAAAGUUCACACUGUGACGGUAUCUUACCAGAAAGGGACGGCUAACUACGUG
rnacentral:rRNA from 1 species